rnacentral:rRNA from 1 species
UACGGAGGGUGCAAGCGUUAAUCGGAAUUACUGGGCGUAAAGCGUGCGCAGGCGGUUUGCUAAGACAGGUGUGAAAUCCCCGGGCUUAACCUGGGAACUGCGCUUGUAACUGGCAAGCUUGAGUGUGGCAGAGGGGGGUGGAAUUCCACGUGUAGCAGUGAAAUGCGUAGAUAUGCGGAGGAACACCGAUGGCGAAGGCAAUCCCCUGGACCUGUACUGACGCUCAUGCACGAAAGCGUGGGGAGCAAACAGG